GAUUUUGGUUCAAAGCUUCGCUUGGUAUGUUAUUAUUCAAGUUUGGCACUUUGACAAUUCUUUUAUGUUAUUAUGUUUUGUAAAACAUGUUAUGACUGUAUGAUAUUCAACUUCUUGAAAUCAACUUCUUUCCGUUUCUCAAAAAAAGGAAAAAAAAAUGGUUUCCAUUUCUGGAAUUGUUGAUCUAUAAAUGUUAUGACUGAAUGAACAAAGCCACAGGGGCAUUCAUACGUCAGUGCUUGAUUGCUUGUGGAGUUUAG
rnacentral:misc_RNA from 1 species